rnacentral:rRNA from 1 species
CUGAAUAUUGUAAGUAUAUAUAAAUUAUGAAAGCAAAAUAUUAUGGCGGUAUUCUAAGCUUUUCAGAGGAAUUUGCUCUUUAAUGGAUAAAACACCUCAAUCUUACUUUAAUUAGUUAAGUCAAUUUGUAUACCACUAUUAAAAUAAUAAUGAAAGAUUAUUAUUAUAACAUAAAAAAUUCAUAAAAAAUUAAGUCAAGGUGCAGUAAAAAUUAAAGAAUGAAGUGAAUUACAUUGCUUUAAAGAAAGAAAAAAUGAAAUAUUUUAUAUAGGAUUUGAAAGUAAAAUUAAAAUAGGAAGUUAAUUUGAAAAAAGCUCUAGAAUAUGUACACAUCGCCCGUCGCUCUCAUUUAUA